UGAAAGCUUUGAUUUUUGUUGCUUUCGACUGGGUUUUCCUGUUAGUUUGUGUAAAGAAGAAGCUGUAUUAGUUUAUUUGUUCUUUCUUCUGGUUUGGUUCAUCCACUGUUUCCAUGUGCUGUGCCUGACCUUUGAUUUGGCACCAAAGCUAAGAAAUCAAGGGGGAGUGUGUAUAUACAGAACAGAGCAACAAGCUUCAGAUUGGAACUUGAUAAAUAAUCGAUCCCUUCCUCUUUUAAUAGUCUUG
rnacentral:lncRNA from 1 species